AGAGUUUGAUCCUGGCUCAGGAUGAACGCUGGCUACAGGCUUAACACAUGCAAGUCGAGGGGCAGCAUGCCGGUUGCUUGCAACCGGUGAUGGCGACCGGCGCACGGGUGAGUAACGCGUAUCCAACCUUCCCGCGACCAAGGGAUAACCUGCCGAAAGGCAGACUAAUACCUUAUGUCCUCCUUUGAAGGCAUCUGACGAGGAGCAAAGAUCCGUCGGUCACGGAUGGGGAUGCGUCCGAUUAGCUUGUUGGCGGGGCAACGGCCCACCAAGGCAUCGAUCGGUAGGGGUUCUGAGAGGAAGGCCCCCCACACUGGAACUGAGACACGGUCCAGACUCCUACGGGAGGCAGCAGUGAGGAAUAUUGGUCAAUGGGCGGAAGCCUGAACCAGCCAAGUAGCGUGCAGGACGACGGCCCUACGGGUUGUAAACUGCUUUUAUGCGGGGAUAAAGUUGCCCACGCGUGGGUUUUUGCAGGUACCGCAUGAAUAAGGACCGGCUAAUUCCGUGCCAGCAGCCGCGGUAAUACGGAAGGUCCGGGCGUUAUCCGGAUUUAUUGGGUUUAAAGGGAGCGCAGGCCGCCGUGCAAGCGUGCCGUGAAAAGCAGCGGCCCAACCGCUGCCCUGCGGCGCGAACUGCCUGGCUUGAGUGCGCCGGAAGCGGGCGGAAUUCGUGGUGUAGCGGUGAAAUGCUUAGAUAUCACGAAGAACCCCGAUUGCGAAGGCAGCCCGCUGUGGCGCCACUGACGCUGAGGCUCGAAGGUGCGGGUAUCGAACAGGAUUAGAUACCCUGGUAGUCCGCACGGUAAACGAUGGAUACCCGCUGUCCGGCCCGUACGGUCUGGGCGGCCAAGCGAAAGCGUUAAGUAUCCCACCUGGGGAGUACGCCGGCAACGGUGAAACUCAAAGGAAUUGACGGGGGCCCG
rnacentral:rRNA from 1 species